GGAGAGGUGUCCGAGUGGUUGAAGGUGCCGCUCUCGAAAAGCGGUGUGGGGUAAAACCUACCGAGAGUUCGAAUCUCUUCCUCUCCGCCA
rnacentral:tRNA from 6 species